UACGGAGGGGACUAGCGUUGUUCGGAAUUACUGGGCGUAAAGCGCACGUAGGCGGAUUUGUAAGUCAGGGGUGAAAUCCCGGGGCUCAACCCCGGAACUGCCUUUGAUACUGCGAAUCUCGAGUCCGGAAGAGGUGAGUGGAAUUCCUAGUGUAGAGGUGAAAUUCGUAGAUAUUAGGAAGAACACCAGUGGCGAAGGCGGCUCACUGGUCCGGUACUGACGCUGAGGCGCGACAGCGUGGGGAGCAAACAGG
rnacentral:rRNA from 1 species